GACAGGGGGUGCAAACGUUGCUCGGAAUUACUGGGCGUAAAGCGCGUGUAGGCGGUUUCGCAAGUCAGGUGUGAAAGCCUGGGGCUCAACCCCAGAAGUGCACUUGAUACUACGGAGCUGGAGUCUUGAAGAGGAGAGCGGAAUUCCGGUGUAGAGGUGAAAUUCGUAGAUAUCGGGAGGAACACCAGUGGCGAAGGCGGCUCUCUGGGCAAGUACUGACGCUGAGACGCGAAAGCGUGGGUAGCAAACAGGA
rnacentral:rRNA from 1 species